UUGACUACUAUGCAAAGAAGCUUACAUUGUUGAAUACAUAUGUAAUCUCUACUGCCAGAGUGAAAGUUUCACUACCUUCGUACGAAAGGAUAAUACUUAAAUUUUAUUGGGUGCUUGAUAAGGAAACUCUGAUCGAACAUAUCAAACCAAAUAACCAGCUUGAGAAAUCAAUGUUGCCACUGAUCAAGUUACUUACCACAGCUUUUGCCAAUAUUGCUCAACUGACUCCUGGUCCUAAUGCAGAAAUUGAUAUUGUAGCAGUUGUUCUCCGUUGUGGCCCUUCAAAAUAUGCAUGACGCACUCAAAAUAGGAUUCGCGAGGUUACUAUUUCUGAUGAUCAUCGAAACCAAUUUCUGCUUACUUUAUGGGACGACUUCGGGGAAAUUGAAGGAGCUGAAUUGGCAGCUCAAAUGGGAAAGGGUAAAGAGUUCCCUGUAAUGCUUGCAUGGAACAUUGGAAUCUCUGGUUAUCAAAGUAUGCGUGACUUACAUUGUUUUACUAAAAUCUCACUUUUUUAUACCAUACACUAUUACACUAUCAUUUCAUAUGUAUAGGUUUAUCCUUGCAAACCAGAUUCAACUCCACGAUACGCAUAAAUCCUACCUAUCUGCAAGCAUUACAAUUGAUCAGUUGGAAUUGACUUCUUACUAUACAUCUCUAGCUUUAGCGUGCCAUAAAAAACAUAUUUCGCAAUUUUUCUGUUGUCAUAAUAUGGCAAAGACAAACAAAGACGUGAUUUUGGGCAAUGUGUCGGGUAACUUCGCGGGAUCAUCCACUUCUCUUACCGUGAAUCAUGUUCACCAACGAAUCGU